UGGUGAGAGCCUGCCUGGCAGAUACUGCUUGUGUGGGGCAGAAGAUCUCCAGGACAACAAGGGGCCUUUGGGAACACAGCUCUGAGGAAUGAUUGACAGACAUUAUUACUCAGAGCAUAUGCCUUCAACGUGUGAAAAAUCCUGAUCUUGAAGAUUAUCAUAGCUCAACUGAUUCAUAGAGUGCAUUUGUCAAAUUUCAUCAUUCUGAGCUUCAAAAUAGUCUGAACCUCCCAACAUGAAACUGAAAUAAAUGGAAUUUGGAUGGAAUGUGUCAUUUUUGUCUUCAUAAGUAAAAUCAAAUGAGAAGGAAGGAAGCUGCAAACAAAGGGAUUUUCAGAUGAUUUAGGAAGAUUCGGAUGUUUUCAUAAAGCCCAUGAAAAAGAGCAUGGUCAGUUAACAUGAACGUGGCACAGCUGGUAGGAGGAAAUGGCUUUGUGUGUGAUUGGCACUGACCAGUCUGCCCUCUGCAAAUCCAGAUUCUGCCAAAAACCAGAAGGAUGGAUUUCCCCCAAGCUCAGUCUGGGAUAGAAAGUCAUGUGUAAACCCACAAUGUGCUACUCUUUGCACUAUGUUGGAGGACAUUUGGAAGAGUUCCCACUUUUCAGAAACAGAUUUCAACACGGAGAGCUAAGGAAGGAAAGAAAUCUCAAACUCUA